ACCACUGAGCUGCAGCUCAGCCCUGUGC
rnacentral:piRNA from 1 species